UGCGGUUAAAACGUUCGUAGUUGAAUUUGUGUCCCACACGGGUAAUGCACCCAAGUGCGGGUUUUGCAUUGCUUGUUGCUUGUGCAUUGGUAAAACAGUGUGCAAGUGACUUUAAGUGUGACGGAUGUUUUACCGGU
rnacentral:rRNA from 1 species